rnacentral:tRNA from 1 species
GGGGGUAUAGCUCAGUGGUGGAGCACAUGCUUAGCAUGCACAAGGUCAUGGGUUGAAGCCCCAGGACCUCCA